GCGCGAAAACUUUACAAUGCGAGAAAUCGUGAUAAGGGAACCCCGAGUGCCCGUAAAUUCGGGCUGUUAAUCUGUUUAAAAAGCAGGUGGAGAAAGGGCCGGGCAAGACCGGUGCCAGCCGCCGCGGUAAUACCGGCGGCUCGAGUGGUGGCCACUAUUACUGGGCUUAAAGCGUCCGUAGCUGGAUUGUUAAGUCUCUUGGGAAAUCUACCGGCUUAACCGAUAGGCGUUCAAGGGAUACUGGCAAUCUAGGGACCGGGAGAGGUGAGAGGUACUCCAGGGGUAGGAGUGAAAUCCUGUAAUCCUUGGGGGACCACCUGUGGCGAAGGCGUCUCACCAGAACGGCUCCGACAGUGAGGGACGAAAGCUGGGGGAGCAAACCGG
rnacentral:rRNA from 1 species